GAUGAACGCUGGCGGCGUGCCUAAUACAUGCAAGUCGAGCGAACAGAUGAGGAGCUUGCUCCUCUGACGUUACCGGCGGACGGGUGAGUAACACGUGGAUAACCUACCUAUAAGACUGGGAUAACUUCGGGAAACCGGAGCUAAUACCGGAUAAUAUAUUGAACCGCAUGGUUCAAUAGUGAAAGACGGUUUUGCUGUCACUUAUAGAUGGAUCCGCGCCGCAUUAGCUAGUUGGUAAGGUAACGGCUUACCAAGGCAACGAUGCGUAGCCGACCUGAGAGGGUGAUCGGCCACACUGGAACUGAGACACGGUCCAGACUCCUACGGGAGGCAGCAGUAGGGAAUCUUCCGCAAUGGGCGAAAGCCUGACGGAGCAACGCCGCGUGAGUGAUGAAGGUCUUCGGAUCGUAAAACUCUGUUAUUAGGGAAGAACAAAUGUGUAAGUAACUAUGCACGUCUUGACGGUACCUAAUCAGAAAGCCACGGCUAACUACGUG
rnacentral:rRNA from 1 species